rnacentral:misc_RNA from 1 species
UUGCAUCACAAGUUUCAUCCAUUAUCCUUCAAACCAAAUUUCCUAGGCUACAGACAGAAUAUAUGACAAAUAUCAGGCAGCUACAACAAGGCAAAACAAUGGAUAUUUCUUGAAAUUCAAGAAACCUGAGCUAAGGAAUUGUUUUAUUUUAUCAUACAGCAUUAUAUAUGUGACAAGUGAGGAAAGGAAGCUGAAGUGAACGUCACGCCAUUUACAUCCAGGGCAUUUGAGAACUUAAUAGAAAAUGCGUGCAUUUAAUAUGAAAAAAAGUAUCGACCAUUUUGUCAGGCUUCUUUUCUCCCAUCUUACUUCCAGAGUUACACUUGUUCAUUCAUUGUCUUGCUUGAUAAAAAUCAACGGAAAUUCAUCAUCUUGCUCUGAGAAACC